rnacentral:tRNA from 1 species
UGCAUCGGUCGGGAAUCGAACCCGGGCCGCCCGCGUGGCAGGCGAGCAUUCUACCACUGAAUCACCGAUGC